rnacentral:rRNA from 1 species
CGUAGGGUGCAAGCGUUAAUCGGAAUUACUGGGCGUAAAGCGUGCGCAGGCGGUUAUGUAAGACAGUUGUGAAAUCCCCGGGCUCAACCUGGGAACUGCAUCUGUGACUGCAUAGCUAGAGUACGGUAGAGGGGGAUGGAAUUCCGCGUGUAGCAGUGAAAUGCGUAGAUAUGCGGAGGAACACCGAUGGCGAAGGCAAUCCCCUGGACCUGUACUGACGCUCAUGCACGAAAGCGUGGGGAGCAAACAGGAUUAGAUACCCUGGUAGUCCACGCCCUAAACGAUGUCAACUGGUUGUUGGGUCUUCACUGACUCAGUAACGAAGCUAACGCGUGAAGUUGACCGCCUGGGGAGUACGGCCGCAGGGUUG